GACAGAGGGGGCAAGCGUUGCUCGGAAUUACUGGGCGUAAAGGGCGCGUAGGCGGGAUGGCAAGUCGGUCGUGAAGUCCCUCGGCUCAACCGAGGAACGUCGAUCGAUACUGCUGUUCUUGAGGAUUGCAGAGGAGACUGGAAUUCCCGGUGUAGCGGUGAAAUGUGUAGAGAUCGGGAAGAACAUCGGUGGCGAAAGCGCUCUACUGGACCGCAACUGACACUCAGGGACGAAAGCUAGGGGAGCGAAUGGG
rnacentral:rRNA from 1 species